UGGUGGGUAGUUUGACUGGGGCGGUCUCCUCCUAAAGAGUAACGGAGGAGCACGAAGGUUGGCUAAUCCUGGUCGGACAUCAGGAGGUUAGUGCAAUGGCAUAAGCCAGCUUGACUGCGAGCGUGACGGCGCGAGCAGGUGCGAAAGCAGGUCAUAGUGAUCCGGUGGUUCUGAAUGGAAGGGCCAUCGCUCAACGGAUAAAAGGUACUCCGGGGAUAACAGGCUGAUACCGCCCAAGAGUUCAUAUCGACGGCGGUGUUUGGCACCUCGAUGUCGGCUCAUCACAUCCUGGGGCUGAAGUAGGUCCCAAGGGUAUGGCUGUUCGCCAUUUAAAGUGGUACGCGAGCUGGGUUUAGAACGUCGUGAGACAGUUCGGUCCCUAUCUGCCGUGGGCGCUGGAGAACUGAGGGGGGCUGCUCCUAGUACGAGAGGACCGGAGUGGACGCAUCACUGGUGUUCGGGU
rnacentral:rRNA from 3 species